rnacentral:rRNA from 1 species
GAUGAACGCUAGCUACAGGCUUAACACAUGCAAGUCGCGGGGCAGCAUGGGGGUUGCUUGCAAUCCCCGAUGGCGACCGGCGCACGGGUGAGUAACGCGUAUCCAACCUGCCCUUCGCCACGGGAUAACCCGGCGAAAGUCGGACUAAUACCGUAUGUUGUCCAUUGACGGCAUCCGAUUUGGACGAAAGGCUUGGCGGUGAGGGAUGGGGAUGCGUCCGAUUAGCCAGACGGCGGGGUAACGGCCCACCGUGGCUACGAUCGGUAGGGGUUCUGAGAGGAAGGUCCCCCACACUGGAACUGAGACACGGUCCAGACUCCUACGGGAGGCAGAAGUGAGGAAUAUUGGUCAAUGGGCGUAAGCCUGAACCAGCCAAGUAGCGUGCAGGAUGACGGCCCUAUGGGUUGUAAACUGCUUUUAUGCGGGGAUAAAGUGGCCCACGUGUGGGCUUUUGCAGGUACCGCAUGAAUAAGGACCGGCUAAUUCCGUG